UGAUCCAUGUGUGGCAUUACAUGCCUGGAGGCGGGCUUUCCACUUGAGGGCCCGGGCGCUCAUUGGUCACCAGCGCUAGUCGGCAAACCAUAAAAGUGCGUACUCUUUCACUCCCCCUUUGACCUCACGCAUGUGUCCGCCCACCGGCAUUCCACUUCCGUGUUUACAGAAGCCGCACGGCAGCACGGACAGUCGCGCAUACAACCGCGGACCUGCGCGCCUCGCUAUAAAACAGAUGACGCUGCUGUUUUGCUCCACCUCGCUACACGCUACUACUCUGCUGCGUUGCAGCGAUUGUUUAUGCUGUGUUCUACCUAUACCAUCAUUCACCUAUCCUACCCGCUGCUGCAACGUUACGGCGCUCGCUCUGCCGGCAUUUAGACCUCGCUAACACACUCCUGGCUGCGGUUCCAUUGUGGUCGUAUGGACCACUUUCCCUGGUCCAUCUACAAGCUGCAGGUUGAGUGCUGCUCGGUCUGAUAUUACACCCACAAGGAAUCUAGCGCCUGUCCUAAGGAGGUGGCGCGGCAACGCUGUGUGGAACGUUAUCCCUUUGGAAAGCGACGCACGGGAUAUUGACUAUGGACUGAUUUCUUUCUCAAUUGUAAUUUUAAACUUUUGUUUUCCUAGGAGCUGACUACCGAGCCUAGUGGUGGUGGUGGAUCCCCUGGUGGUGGCCCCUUUUUGGUUUGUGGUGCACUUUCACUAUUUAUUGCUUUACUAUUUGUUGUGUUUGAUAUUAGUUAGGUUGUCUCACCCACGGUUGUCCCCCCUCCAUCUACAGGUAAACCCUGCUCCUAGGUUCUCACGUUUGUUUUGUAUGUAUAUAGAAAACUUGGUACCUUUUUAUAAAAGAAAGAACGCAUUUGAUAACGUUAACAUUUUAACUUUUCUACUAUCAAUAAAGCUCGUCAAAUCGAACUGAACAGUCUCCGGCCUCUCAGUAAAAGUGAACCUGUGUGCUGUACCUCAUAUUCUCCAGGCGAAAUUCCUGGUGUGGCGUUGUCGGCCCUGGUACAGUAGCAUUAAGCGCUGUACCUGGCAAUCGAUCAAAUUUACACCCCCCUCUGG
rnacentral:lncRNA from 1 species